rnacentral:rRNA from 1 species
UCGAAAUAUUAUUUAACUAGAGUAAUAAUAGUUAUAAGCUUGAAAUUCAAAGAAUUUGGCGGUACUUUAAUCUAACUAGAGGAACCUGUUUUAUAAACGAUAUGCCACGAAAAAUCUUACUUGUCUUAAGUAGUUUGUAUACCGUCAUUAUUAGAUAAUUUUUAAAGAAAAAAUUAUUUAAAUUAAUAUAAUUAAAUAUAUUAGAUCAAGGUGCAGCUCAUAGGCAAGGAAAAAUGGGUUACAAUAAAUUUAUUUAGGUGAAUUUAAGAUUAUAAAGAUUUAAUGAAGACGGAUUUAGUUGUAUAUUUAAUUUAAUAAGUUAGAUAGAAAUUGGCCCUAAAG